UUCAGUUGAAUGCUAAAGGAUACGCAUUCAUAAGUUCCUACGGAUACCCCUUAAAAGAACAAGUUUGGAUACCACUUCGGCUCCAAAGCCCUUUCAAUUGGAAGGAUGGGAAAAAGCCAUCGAGGCCAUUUGAGCAGAGCGUCACUCAGUCCCCUCAUCACCACAAAGAACAGAGACAGGUGGGUGCCACGCCCCGUCCCAUCUCCGUUCAGCUCGGUCUGCGAACAUCUGCAGCGGGGGCGACGGAGGGGGCGGAGUUACCUGGGGAGAACAUUGCAGGAGCCCGCCCCGCGAUGGCAUCCUGACGCUUCUUGGCGAAGUCGGAAAUCCUCCAGAUGAAGACGCCGUCGAAGGUGGUGGCGGCCAUUUCCCUCAGUCGACCCUCCAUCUCCGCCACCGUGAGGUCCUUCAGCCCCACCGUCCUCUCUAGCUGUCGCACCUGGGGAGCCAAAACCUCCAGGCGGAAAUCAUCUGACCGUCGAUAGCUGAUGGCGAUCAGCUGACUUCAUGGUGCUGGACAGCUGGAGUGUUUACAAAGAGCUUCUUUAAUUUGUAACAAUAAAAAAAUUGAGCUCAAAGAUUCACAAAAGCAAAUGUUUUCUUCAGCCGAUGUGAUUAAAAAAUGUUUCGAUAAUUCAUUAUUUUAAAUGGUUCUUUCAUUUUCUUGUUAAUUUUAGUUACUAAAACAAGGGAUUACUCUCUGCUGUCAUUAUUAUUCCACUACUAGAAAUAUACAGAAUUACAUGAGGGCAUUUUAACAUUUUUUAUUUUUAUUCUUUAGUCAGUUUCUUUGUUUGUUUUUAUCUAUUGUGUCUUGUGACUUUUUAUUGCCUUAAGCUAAUGUUUAAUUAAGUUAGUGUAAAAAUUAACUGAGAGUCGGAGAAACUAACUUAAUCAAUAUAAUAUUUAUGAUUGAUUUGGCGUAUACUUCUACAGCCUCUUCUGUAACUUCAUUAAGGUUAUAGUCAGACUGGAAAAGUCCGUUGGUCCAAACUGAGUCCGUCCAGAUCGAGUCCUCAAAUUAUUCAUUUUCACUGAUCUAAAAACAUUUUCUGUCACCAGAAGAUCAGCUCUGAUUUCAUCCAAACAGACCCUGAUAAAACACUGACUAGUUAGGAAUAUAAAAGACCAUCAAAUACUUAUUUGAUUCCAAUGAAGUGAACAAAAUAAUGAAGCUCAGAGAUGUGAGUUCAUCCAGCAUCAGCGUCAGUUUC